rnacentral:sRNA from 1 species
AAACCCGACUAUAUGGCUCUCAAAUUCUUGAUCGCUUGAUGAAGAGUGGGCCGCAAGGACCCGCUCUUUUUUAUUAGCUCGAUCGCCUGAACAGCUUGAAAUUGCGAGGAGCGCCGCUUGUCGGACAUGACAAACGCAGACAACGAACUUGAGCCGCG